rnacentral:guide_RNA from 1 species
AAACAAAGAGACCAUCCGAAAUAGAGAAUUAUGUAU